rnacentral:rRNA from 1 species
GCCGCAAGAGUGCCGGGGCGAAAUCUUCGUCACGAGGCUACGGUGUCAGUAGGGUUGGGAGUGGGAGCCUCCCAUACGGGUUGAAGCAUGACCGGAAGGACAUGUGGACAGUAUGGGAGGGAGAAUGUUGGCAUGAGUAGCGAGAGGUGGGUGAGAAUCCCACAGGCCGUAAACCCAAGGUUUCCAGGGGAAGGGUCGUCCGCCCUGGGUUAGUCGGGACCUAAGCUGAGGCCGAAAGGCGUAGGUGAUGGAAAACAGGUUGAUAUUCCUGUACUACCGAUAACCGUUUGAGAGAAGGGAUGACACAGUAGGAUAAGCUAAGCACACUGUUGGUUAUGUGUGCCCAAGCAUUGAGGCAGUCAAAG